GAUAGUGCUCUGGAGAUGUGAUGGAUCCUGGAAUGUAUUCCCAUAACAAUGCAAAAUAUGUGACAUAUUCUGUCCAAGACUAACUUCAGAGUUACUUAGAAUAAUCUCUGUUUGGCUAGAAAUCUCUGUGCUGAUGUACCUAACAGUAAAGCCAAAGAUCUGCAGCAUGUUUAUAAUUUCCCAGAUUUAAAAAGAUACAGCAAAUGAAGAAUGAGAAAUCAACUGCC